AUGGAAGAGAAAGCACAGAGCCAGAAAGCAAAGCCUGAAGAUGCUUCUGAAGCCCAGGUGGUCCACAGGAGGACCCGGAGGCCAGUAGCAGUGUUCUGCUGGGCAUUUCCACUGUGCACGCUCCCCGCUAAUCACUUCAUGGAACUGAGAACACAGUGUAAUGUGCAGCAUUGGCAUACCUCAAAGCAGUCCUCUGCUACUGCUGGAAAAUGUGAUCAAAUUUGUGCCUUAUUGAUAGCUGAUAGUAAAUCAAGAUAUGUGAGAUGCAGUCCCUAUUUGAGAUACAUUAAAUUGCCUUCUGUAAGAGGUUAUUACUUUAGCAGUGUAGAAGUUUAUUUUUUACUAGGAAAGACUUUUGUAUCAUCAUAGUAAUCUAGGAAACCUUUGAAAAUAAAGGGUGUUGGAUCCCACUCACAGUUCUCUCAGGCUCAUCCAUUUUUCCAGUCUUCUUCUCUCCCACAGACACACCAUAUAUACACACAGAUCAGAUCAGACCAGAUCAGUCGCUGAGUCGUGUCCGACUCUUUGCGACCCCAUGAAUCACAGCACGCCAGGCCUCCCUGUCUAUCACCAACUCCCGGAGUUCACUCAGACUCACGUACACACCCUAAAAACCUGUCCCCAGGGGGUUUGGAUUAUCAGCCUGUUCAUGAGCUUGGUCUGACCUGGUCCUUUCCUUCUCUACUGUAGAUGUGGAUGGUAGGACCCAGAGAGGCUAAUUUUGCAUUGGAAUUCUUUCUCUUCACUUGAUUGAUUCCUGGUCUGCUUUGUUUUUUUCUGAAACAUCAAGCAACUUUAAGUCCAUAGAAUGGCUGAAGAGACAACAGUAUGCCUGGAAAUGACAAUGAUAAAAAAUAAAGAUACUAGCAUUUGAGUGAUAUUACAUGUUAAUUUAAAUUCUGUAGUUAUCCUUGUGAUUAUCUUUAGAAUUAGGCCUUGUUUCUAUUCUGUCUCAGUAUCUAGUCAAUUCUUCUUAAAGCUUAUUUUAUUCUGAUACAUGUGUAGUAUUGUAUGGGGUUCCUUGGUGGCUCAGUGGUAGAGAACUUGCUUGCCAAUGUAGGAGCCACAGGUUUGCUCCUUGCGUCAGGAAGAUCCUCUGGAGAAGGAAAUGGCAACCCACUCCAGUAUUCUUGCCUAGGAAAUCCCAUGGACAGAGGAGCCUGAUAGGCUGUAUAGUCCAUGGGGUCACAAAGAGUUAGACACAAUUUAGCAACUAAAGGACAGCAACAGUAAUAUUGUACACUACACUCUACUAUAUGUGAUAGCUUCCGUUUACUAGAUGGACCAUAGUUUUAAUUCUUUAUCUAUUUGCAUUUUAUCAGCACCAAGAAAUAUUUAUAUGUAUUCAGCUCAUGCAUUAGAUAACUUAUAUUCAAGGCUCUCAUUUUACUUAAUUUUACUAUUUCUCCACUCUCAGUGUUUGGUAUUAUCGUCAGGAAGGGUAUUAGAAGAAUACCACAAAUGUUGCAUAGGUGUGUAAUUCAUAGAAUAAACUUUUGUUAAUUAUAAAUUUUAUCAUAAAUAAUGGUUUUUAAUUACCAAGAAUUAUAAUUUCCAAUUAUUUAAAUUAUGAAUAAGUUUAUUCCCUUUAUAUAGAACUAAUAGACUUCUACUUUUACUCCUUCACUGGAUACAGUACUGAUCAAAGCAUUCAUAAAAAGACAGAUAACAUUCAUGAGGUUUUAGGUUGUGCUGUGUGCUAUACUAAGCUCUUCACUUGCACUCAUCUAAUCUUCAUAACCACAUUUUGUGGUGUAAACUGUUGUCAUCUUCAUUUUGUAGACGAGGAAACUGAAAUAUUGAAGUUAAGUUAGAGGGAGAAUAAAUGGUGGAGUAUAUACUCAGGUCUUUCCUGCCAGAGCUUUGGCUUUUAGUCAUGAUGUGCUGGGAGCCGGAAUAUUGCAUAUUGAGUGCAUAUUGCAUAUUGAGUGCAUAUUGCAUAUUGAGUGCAGCACUUUCCACAGCAUCAUCUUUCAGGAUCUGGAAUAGCUCAACUGGAAUUCUAUCACUGCCAGGAGCCAGCGUGAGGAACUCCGCCCAUGACAAAGGUCAUGAGGAAGGAGGCUCGGCACACGCAAAGGCGGGAUCGAGCUUCAGGAGUCCCCCUGUGAAUUCUCGAGCAUCUACCCCCAAAACCAGAGUCUGCCUACUUUCUGCUUUGUGCUCUCACCUACACCUCUGACUUUACGGGGGGCUGUCCCCCACUACCUCUCUCUGAAAAAAGAGUUAGCUUACAGCUCCAGUUAAUAAUUCCUGAGUGUGACAGUGUUUAACCUACAAACUCCUUUGGAAAUCUCUAGCCUGCCUGAAUAGGUUUUUCUGGCCACAUGUGAUUGUUCAGAGCCUCCCAACUGUGAGAGGCAGGAGAUGUUCUAAACUGUCUAAACACAGAUUCCUUUGAGUAGUUAAAAGAUUGACUAGAAAUUGUAUUGGUGAAGGGUUUUUCACUUAUUGGGCCAAUGUUUGCUGCUAAGUCUCCAUACUCCUUACCUACUGUGUCCUUGGCAGUGUAUUGAUUGAUAUAAUGGGUGUAUAGAAAUGUAAGUAGUAGCCUCAGUGUUUGUAACCUUGGACCCUUGAGUUAAUUCUUUUCUUGAUUGAGCCCACCUCACCUUUGCCCUAUAGGAAUGCAGCUUUGUCCAAUGCUUUUUUGGAGGCUGGUGCCUGACUUUGGAAUAAUCACCUUUAGAGAAAGAUAAGUUUCUUAAAAUGUUAACAGGCCUCCUGGCCAGAAGAUGAUGUAAUUCACCUGAACUUUUGCAUAUGAUAAGUUUGAAAGCCUGGCUUCUAUUAGGACCAGGAGCUGCUGUCCUUGCAUGACUCCACCCCUUCCCCCAUUAUCCUCUAUGCGCAAUUUAAGGUAUAAAAACUACUUUGGAAAAUAAAGUGCGGGCCUUGUUCACCAAAACUUGGUCUCCCCAUGUCGUUCUUUCUCUCACCUUCUGGCUGAAUUAUUCAGCCUCUUUUCUCCACUGAAUUUCCUCACUGAGCUAUCCUCAUCCUAUUACUCUUUAUAUCUUUGAUAAAUAUUUAAAUAAAUAGGUCGCCUAUGCCGUCUCUCCUUCGAAUACCCUGGAUCAGCCGGGGCUGGACCCCGGCAAUGAUGUUUUAAUACCUCUCCUUCAAAAUUUCAUUAAACUGAAUGUGACAGUUUGCUUUUACCAAUUCAUCGUUUCCCCCCUCUGGAAGUUGCUUUAAAGUUUAAUCAGAGAUCACCAUCACCGUUUUUUUAAAAAUGAUUUUUACAACCACUGUGUUCAUACAGAUCCUACCUACAUAUUUAUUUCUUUUUCUUUCUACCUUUAGACACUAACAUUUGCAUUUAUUAUACUUAAGAAUUUUCCAUUGUUUUUAGUAAUUGACUUCCAGCCUUAUUCCUUUGUAGUUUGACAAGAUAUUUUGUGUGGAUUCAGUCUUUCUAACUAUAUUGAAGCUCGUGUUGUGACAAUACGGUGCUUCCUGGACAGUGCUCCGUGUGUGCUUGAGAAGACUGUGUAUUCUGUAGUUGGCUAGAGGGUUUUAUGUGACUUAAUUUACAGUCUUGUUCAAGUCCUGCGUUUCCUUAUAUCUCCUUGAUCUCCUGUCUAGAUGUCAUGCCAACUUUUAUUGUAGAACUGUUUCUCCCUUGAGUUCUAUCAGCGUUUGCUUCUUGUAUUUCCUUCCAUGUUCUGUUGUUUGGUGCAUACAUGUUGUGAUUGUUGUAUGUUCCUCAUGGUUUGAUCCUUUCAUCAAUAUAUAAUGUCCUUCUUUGUCAAACAGUUCUCUUGUCUGUUGUAACAGUCUGUUUUGUCUAAUAUUAGUAUAGCCAAGUAUCUCUCUCUCUCUUUUGGUUAUUUUUACAUGAAAUAUCUUUUCUAUCCUUUUACUUUGGUUCUUAAAUGAGUCUCUUGUAGACAACAUAUAGUUAAAAUGUGGUUUUUCUAAAUCCAUAUUUUUCUAAUCUCUGCCUUUUGAAUGAAACUUUAAUCCAUUUACAUUUAAGGUAACUGCUGAUAAAAAGAACUUCUGCCAUUUUCCUGUUAUUUUUCUGUAUGUUUUAUAUCUUACUUCCUCUUUCUUUCCUCCAUUACUGCGUUUUCUUGCGUUUGGUUGUGUGUUCGUUUGUUUUUGUUUUGUAGGGACCAUUGUUUGUUGCCUUCUUAUUCCUGUUGUGUAAUUUCUUAUAUACAUUCUUUGUGACUGUCACAGGGAUCACACUUAAAUCCUAAAUUUUUAAAAAUCAACUUCAAGUUGAUAACUCUACAGCAUACAAAAUAUGUGCUGCUAUACUGCUCUGACCUUUUCCCUUUUAUACUGUUUGAUAAAUUUUUCUUGUACAUUGUUGCUCAGUUGUAUCAAUUUAUAAUUUUUUUUAUCCAUUUAUUUUUUUAUAUCCUGUAGAGAAGGCAAUGGCAACCCACUCCAGUACUCUCGCCUGGAAAAUCCCAUGGGCGGAGGAGCGUGGUAGGCUACAGUCCAUGGAGUUGCAGAGAGUCGGACACGACUGAGUGACUUUACUUUCACUUUUCACUUUCAUGCAUUGGAGAAAGAAAUGGCAACCCACUCCAGUAUUCUUGCCUGGAGAAUCCCAGGGACCAAGGAGCCUGGUAGGCUGCCGUCUAUGGGGUCGCACAGAGUCGGACACGACUGAAGCAACUUAGCAGCAGUUGCAGUAGGAAACCAAGUGCGACAUCACAAAUCUUAAACACAAUGAUAAUGGCUUUAUAUUUGCACACAUAUUUACCUUUACUAGAGAUCUUUAUUUUUUGUUACAACUUUGAGUUAUUUUGGUAUUUUUUCCUUUCAACUUGGAAGUUUGCCAUUAGCUUUUCUUUUAGUGUAUGUUGAGCUAUUCCAAAUCCUGAAAGAUGAUGCUCUGAAAGUCCUGCACUCAAUAUGCCAGCAAAUUUGGAAAACUCAGCAGUGGCCACAGGACUGGAAAAGGUCAGUUUUCAUUCCAGUCCCAAAGAAAGGCAAUGCCAAAGAAUGCUCAAACUACCUCACAGUUGCACUCA
ensembl:lncRNA